UCCCUGGCAGUCCAGUGGUUAGGACUCAGUGCUUUUACUGCCAAGGGCCCAGGUUCAAACCCUGGUUGGAGAA
rfam:TPA: Bos taurus chromosome 10, whole genome shotgun sequence.